rnacentral:rRNA from 1 species
UACGUAGGGGGCAAGCGUUGUCCGGAUUUAUUGGGCGUAAAGAGCGUGUAGGCGGCCUGAAAGGUCAGCUGUGAAAACUCGAGGCUCAACCUCGAGACGUCGGUUGAAACCAUCUGGCUAGAGUCCGGAAGAGGAGUGUGGAAUUCCCGGUGUAGCGGUGAAAUGCGCAGAUAUCGGGAAGAACACCCGUGGCGAAGGCGGCACUCUGGGACGGUACUGGCGCUGAGACGCGAAAGCGUGGGGAGCGAACAGG